rnacentral:rRNA from 1 species
GUGGGGAAUAUUGGACAAUGGGCGCAAGCCUGAUCCAGCCAUGCCGCGUGAGUGAUGAAGGCCCUAGGGUUGUAAAGCUCUUUCACCGGUGAAGAUAAUGACGGUAACCGGAGAAGAAGCCCCGGCUAACUUCGUGCCAGCAGCCGCGGUAAUACGAAGGGGGCUAGCGUUGUUCGGAAUUACUGGGCGUAAAGCGCACGUAGGCGGACAUUUAAGUCAGGGGUGAAAUCCCAGAGCUCAACUCUGGAACUGCCUUUGAUACUGGGUGUCUUGAGUAUGGAAGAGGUAAGUGGAAUUCCGAGUGUAGAGGUGAAAUUCGUAGAUAUUCGGAAGAACACCAGUGGCGAAGGCGACUCACUGGCCCAAUACUGACGCUGAGGCGCGAAAGCGUGGGGAGCAAACAGGAUUAGAAACCCCUGUAGUCC